rnacentral:rRNA from 1 species
UACGGGGGGAGCAAGCGUUGUUCGGAUUUACUGGGCGUAAAGGGCGCGUAGGCGGCCACCGCAAGUCGACUGUGAAAUCUCCGGGCUUAACCCGGAAAGGUCAGCCGAUACUGCGGGGCUAGAGUGCAGAAGGGGCAACUGGAAUUCCAGGUGUAGCGGUGAAAUGCGUAGAUAUCCGGAGGAACACCAGUGGCGAAAGCGGCCACCUGGACUGUACCUGACGCUCAAACGCGAAAGCUAGGGGAGCGAACGGG